AAAACAAGAAAGGGGGUUUGAAUUGUUUUGGAAAUAAAAACUUUUUCAAAAAUCAAAACACACAGAAUUUUAUACUGGUUCGCUUGAAAUUGAAAGCUACUCCAGUUCACCCGGCCAAGGUGAUUUCGCCUUCAAAAAGGACUUAAUCCACUAAUCUUGAAAGAUUACAUAACCAAACGUCUAAGAGAAUAAUCUCUUAGCCCUCUCAAG
rnacentral:lncRNA from 1 species